rnacentral:hammerhead_ribozyme from 1 species
AUCCGGUUGGCGAGUCCCAAAUAGGACGAAACGUGCGUCCUGGAU